rnacentral:rRNA from 1 species
AUACGGAGGGUGCAAGCGUUAUCCGGAUUUAUUGGGUUUAAAGGGUCCGUAGGCGGAUCUGUAAGUCAGUGGUGAAAUCUCAUAGCUUAACUAUGAAACUGCCAUUGAUACUGCAGGUCUUGAGUAAGGUAGAAGUAGCUGGAAUAAGUAGUGUAGCGGUGAAAUGCAUAGAUAUUACUUAGAACACCAAUUGCGAAGGCAGGUUACUAUGUCUUAACUGACGCUGAUGGACGAAAGCGUGGGGAGCGAACAGGAUUAGAAACCCGUGUAGUCC